rnacentral:rRNA from 1 species
UAGGUCCUACGGGAGGCAGCAGUGGGGGAUAUUGCACAAUGGGGGGAACCCUGAUGCAGCGACGCCGCGUGGGUGAAGAAGCGCCUCGGCGCGUAAAGCCCUGUCAGCAGGGAAGAAAAUGACGGUACCUGAAGAAGAAGCCCCGGCUAACUACGUGCAAGCAGCGGCGGUAAUACGUAGGGGGCAAGCGUUAUCCGGAUUUACUGGGGGUAAAGGGGGCGCAGACGGCGAUGCAAGCCAGGAGUGAAAGCCGG